rnacentral:ncRNA from 1 species
GAAUAUGACUAUUUAAUUAAAACAAAGCAUUGCAAUGGUCCCUGUAGAUGCUAACACAAUGUGAUUUCUUCCCAGUGCUUUGAAUGUCAAAGUGAAUAAAUUCAACCAAAAGCGGGUAAGCGACGAGAGUAACUAUGAUUAUAUUAAGGUAGCCAAAUUCCUCGUCAUCUAACUAUCGACGCACAUGAAUGGAUUAACGAGAUUC